GAGAGUUUGAUCCUGGCUCAGGACGAACGCUGGCGGCGUGCUUAACACAUGCAAGUCGAACGAUGAUGCCCAGCUUGCUGGGUGGAUUAGUGGCGAACGGGUGAGUAACACGUGAGUAACCUGCCCCUGACUCUGGGAUAAGCGUUGGAAACGACGUCUAAUACUGGAUACGACUGCCGGCCGCAUGGUCUGGUGGUGGAAAGAUUUUUUGGUUGGGGAUGGACUCGCGGCCUAUCAGCUUGUUGGUGAGGUAAUGGCUCACCAAGGCGACGACGGGUAGCCGGCCUGAGAGGGUGACCGGCCACACUGGGACUGAGACACGGCCCAGACUCCUACGGGAGGCAGCAGUGGGGAAUAUUGCACAAUGGGCGAAAGCCUGAUGCAGCAACGCCGCGUGAGGGAUGACGGCCUUCGGGUUGUAAACCUCUUUUAGUAGGGAAGAAGCGAAAGUGACGGUACCUGCAGAAAAAGCACCGGCUAACUACGUGCCAGCAGCCGCGGUAAUACGUAGGGUGCAAGCGUUGUCCGGAAUUAUUGGGCGUAAAGAGCUCGUAGGCGGUUUGUCGCGUCUGCUGUGAAAUCCCGAGGCUCAACCUCGGGCUUGCAGUGGGUACGGGCAGACUAGAGUGCGGUAGGGGAGAUUGGAAUUCCUGGUGUAGCGGUGGAAUGCGCAGAUAUCAGGAGGAACACCGAUGGCGAAGGCAGAUCUCUGGGCCGUAACUGACGCUGAGGAGCGAAAGCGUGGGGAGCGAACAGGAUUAGAUACCCUGGUAGUCCACGCCGUAAACGUUGGGCGCUAGAUGUAGGGACCUUUCCACGGUUUCUGUGUCGUAGCUAACGCAUAAGCGCCCGCAUGA
rnacentral:rRNA from 1 species